GGAUGUGGGGGCGAGCCGGCUGCAACAUCUGUCACCCCAUUGAUGGCCAGGGUCGAUUCGGCUGAUCUGGCUGGCUAGGCAGAUGUCCCCUUCCUCCCUCACCGUUCCGUGUGUGUCCCUCCUGAAGCUGUGUGCUCGGUCGAAGAGGAUGACCUUCCCCGCCAGAGGAGGACCGUUGUUUGGUCAAGGGUACACGAGUAGCUGUGAUCGCCCGCUAGAACCUCCAAACAAGCUCUCAAGGUCCAAGGUCACAGCAGGAAGUGUCAGAGCCAGCGUAUAAAUCCAGGUAGCCU
rnacentral:snRNA from 1 species